ensembl:lncRNA
CCAUUCCAUUCUGUUCAAUCAAAUUAUUUUUGCAGACGCUCCAAGAGCUCACACACACCAUCACUGACCAGUGUUCCAUAACUAGAGUCAAAUGUCAGUGCUCCUAACCAGACAAUGGCUUCGUAAUUAACCACAUGUCAUGGGCGAGUCAUUUAUCAGUAGCUUCACAUCACAACAGUGCAAAUGUUUCGUCAAAUCCUUAGAAAAUUCAGUGGACGUAUAAUUUCUUUUCAUUUUCAUGGGUGCCUUGACCUUCUGAUACACGGUGUUCAUUAUAGUGUAAGUUAUUUCAACUAUUCAUGGUGAGAUAUUGUCAGGAAUGUCUGCUGUGCAGGAGCGAAGGACGAGCAGAUGCAGGAGAUUCACGAUUACGGUCUUAAAUUAUCAAAAUAAGGGUAACACGGGGCAAGCAGGAACACACACAGAGCACAUAGUGUAGACAACACGGGACAAAGGAACAAAGGAAAGGACAACACUUUAAAUACAAGACUUAACGAGGGGUAAUAAAUGAGACACACCUGAACCAAAUCAUACAAUCACACAAGGGAGAAACUGGGUCAUGGGGAGCACAUGGAGAGGAAAUCACACAGACAGAGACAAGGACAAUGCACCGGAGAAUUCUCCCACCAGAUGCCUGAACCCAAACAAAUGCAGUGUAGCUUUAAUGGUGUGUACCCAGAGGGCAUGAUAAACUGGUUUCAUUAUGACAAGAACCUGACUUCCAGCUCUACAGUCACAAGUCUGGUGAACUCUGAUGGAACGUUCAGCAUCACAAGUGUCCUAAACAUCCAGGACGAUCAAGAGAAAUAUAAAUGCUCACUGUGGUCUCUCAAACACGGAAAAUACCUUAAAGAUCAAGAGUUUGAAGUACCAGUUCAUGCUGAUUCCAGGCCCAUUAGCAGGAUCAGCACACAGCAUUGUUUGUCAUGGACUCUUAUCUUUCUUAGCCUGAUGUUUUGAUUGAAAGCCUGUUUGUCUCCAACUAUCUAAGACAUGGCCACAGGAUACAGUAGUGAACUGACAACUGACCCACAGCUUCUCUCUUACUGCAUUAUGACUAUUAAUUGCACUGACAUGAAAAACCCAAACUAUUUCAAACUGCAUUUUGCAAAUGUUCUCAAUUAAUCAAUCUCAAAUGAAUUGAAAGACUACUGAAUAUAAAAAUGAUGAAAAGCUUAGUUAUUUUAGUAUCAUUGAGACACUCUUGUCGUUUUUAUUAAAUAGUAUAUAUUAGUUUUGUGCGUGAAUGUUUUAUAUACUGUAGUUUUUAUUAAUGAAAUCUAUAUAAUUUGUAUUAUUUUUUAUUAUUAUUUUAAAGUUAUUUUAAUUCACAAAAGUAAAACAAAUGAAAAGUUUCCUCUAACUUAAAAAAAAAAACACUUUUAAAAAUCAGUUAUUAUAAUUUUGUUACUGUAUACUGUUAUCGUUUUGUUAUUAUUAUAUUUUUUUGGUUUGUUUGUUUUUGUUUUGUGUUUUUUCCAAUGACUGCUUUGGCUAUGUGCACUUAAGAUUUGUUCCAUUUUUUAAAACUGCCGCUAAUAAAAUUUUGAUUGUUUAUGCA